ensembl:snoRNA SNORD57 small nucleolar RNA, C/D box 57
UGGACAUGAUGUGAAGUUCCCACCUGACUCACUGUGGAGGCAAAAAGCUGAUUUAAUGAGGCUGAUCC